rnacentral:sRNA from 1 species
UUCAUAAUGAAAGAUUUUUAAAAAUGUAUUGGGCUUAUAAGUAGCCAAUACUAUGCUGAAGGCCAAACAAAAAUAUUCAUGUAAAUUUAUUUAGUUAUUGAGUAUCUUUACCCUUUCCUUCACAACAUUAUCAAGAUCACUGAGUUAACCCAGGUGUGUGGGUACUUUUGGGUUUUAACAGGUACCAGUCAGUGGCCCAGACCUGGAGGGCAAGCACCUUCAUCCCCAAGCUAUGAAAAUUCACUCCACUCCCUGAAAAAUCGAGUUGAGCAGCAACUUCACGAGCAUUUGCAAGAUGCAAUGUCCUUCUUAAAGGAUGUCUGUGAGCAGUCUCGAAUGGAGGAUCGUUUAGACAGACUGGAUGAUGCAAUCCAUGUGCUGCGGAACCAUGCUGUGGGACCUUCCACCAGUUUGCCUGCUGGUCACAGUGAUAUACACAGUUUAUUGGGACCAUCCCAUAAUGCACCAAUUGGAAGCCUCAACUCAAACUAUGGAGGAUCAAGCCUUGUUGCAAGCAGUCGAUCAGCUUCAAUGGUUGGAACUCAUCGGGAAGAUUCUGUCAGUCUUAAUGGCAAUCAUUCAGUCCUGUCUAGUACAGUCACUACGUCAAGCACAGACCUGAACCAUAAAACACAGGAA